UGGCCUCAAAGUGCUGGGAUUACAGGAAUGAGCCACCGUGCCUGGCCCGUUUCUUCUUGUUGGCUGACUGUAGAGGAGCGGGCUUGCUGCUGCUGCUGGGCACCCUCCUCAUACACUCCUUUCUAUCUGGGACCCGCCCUCCAUCUUUGUGUCCCCAAGUGGAGAAGGACUCUGCUAACCCACUUCCGGCUCCUGUGCCUUCAUCAUCCUCCCCUUCAAAUCUUGCUUUAUGGCUUCAAUUCUGUGUCCGUCAUCACAUUGAACGCACAUGGCAGCCUUGGAGAGGCAGGCAGACAGAUGCAUCAUCCGCAUGGCACAGAUGAGGCAGCUGAGGCCCAGCCAGGAUGUGUGACUUGUCUGAGGUCAGACACUUAGUGGCAGGGGUGGGUGGCAGUGCACAGACAUCCAAGCUAGAUCCCAAGAGUCCUCUUGCUCGGGCCCUCCAGGAGAUGGCUGAGGGUGGCCUGGGCCAGGCUGGCAUUCUGGAUGAGUCUUGCCUGGCCUUGCUCAUCCAACGCUCAGCCAACCUGGCUUCUUGGCCCCUGGCUGGGUUGUCAUAGGAACUGCCCUGCUCUGGUGGGACUGCUGUGGCCAGGCAGAUAGGGAGGGAACGGGACCAGGCACGGCUGACCCGUGGGCUGGGAUGUCUAGCCCCUCUAGUGGAUCUACUGGUGGCUAAGGCAGAAGGGAGGACCUGUUUGAGGUCACAGUGAACCAGGAGUUCGUCCCCCUUCACCCACACCAGGCUGCUGCCCUAAGGCAAACGGCUGGGACCUACUCUGGUUGUAGAUGAGGCCCAAGGGAGAAGCUAGAAUGGGAAGGGAGGGGACCCACUGCAGGAGGGCCGGCAGGGUUCCUGCGCUCUCACCAUAUUCUACAGCAAGGCACAGGGGAACUGUGGUAAGCCUACUUUGCAGAUGAGCAAAAGGAGGCCCCAGGUAGGGACCAAACUGAGCAAUGAACCCCUGGGGGACCUGACUGAUGCUCAGGCACCCUCUACCUCUAAAGGGGGCCAUCUCUGAGACUGCACCCCAGGCAAGCGGUGGCGGAAAGGACAGCCACCUGGGUGGGAACCACUCCAGUCUCCAGUCUGCUUCCUGUGGGCAUUGGAGUGGACACACCUGGUUUGAGCACUUUCUGUCUCGUGAGCUCCAGUGAGCCCCUUGGUUCCUCCGAUUUCUUCACUGUGCUUUGCCCUGGGAAACAGCUGUUCUCAAAGGGGCUCUGCCACCCCAGGCCCUUGCUCCUUUCCCUGGGUAGUUCUCCCUGCCUGGCAGGACUCACAACCAGGCAUCACCUCCACCAGGAAGCCUUCUCUGAUCCCUACUGGGUAUCCUCUUUGGUGAUUGUCUUUUUCAAUGGCAGUGGCCCCUAGAUGCAUGUAUGUUCCUAGUGUGGUAUAGCACCUGCUCAGAGUGGGGACUGUGAGUGGCUGAGGAAUGAGGCAUGGAUUGUUUGUGUGACGGAGUGAGCUCCCCAUCCUUGGGGGCUGUAGGGAAUUUGGGCUCAUGAUGGACAUCGUAGACAACAGGAAGGGCUUGGCACUUGGGACCCAGGGCCUGGCCUGGGGCUGCUGCUUGUGCCCACAUCUGACAGGGCCUUGUCAUCAUAGCUGCACAACGUCACCCUGGCGCUGGAGCUGCUGAAGGAUGAGGGCCUGCUCAGCUGUCCCGUCAGCCCUGAAGACAUCGUGAACAAGGAUGCCAAGAGCACACUGCGGGUGCUCUAUGGCCUGUUCUGCAAGCACGCGCAGAAAGCACACAGGGACAGUACGCCCCGUGGAGCCCCGAAUUGACCCUCACUGCCCCCAAAGCCCAGAGCCUGCCUGUCAGCUCGGCUGGAGGGCCCGAGGCCGCAGGGGGUCCUCCCACAGUCCCGCUGUUUCCUGUGCAUUCGUGACCCGCUUCCCUCCCACCCUGUCUCCUGUCUCCAUCAUCAGGUUAUCUCUGAACCCCCUUGUGUAGAUCAUCUUGAGCUGCCUGGCCUUGCUCAGUUUAUUUUAAUAAAAGUAUUUCUGGGAAGGA